UUAAAGAUGGUUCUGCAUAGAAAAACAGUACCACACCUUUACACCAUCUUCUGUCACAGUACCAAUAACAAAGAAUUGUUUCUACUGAACCUACUAGGUUGAACCAACAAUACCUUAUACAAAGAGAGAACCCAAUUUCUGGCCAUGUGUAUCUUCAGAAUGUUGUACGCAAACAUAUUCACUACGGAAGGAAGGCUGCAUGUUACUAUGCUAUCUGAGACCAUUUGUGUUAAUCCGCAGCACAGAAAUUCAGAGUUCAGAGAGUGAAUACUUUUCCAGUGUCCAGUUGCUGCAUAACUAAGGAAAAAGAAGUAAUCUAACAGAUACCAUGAUAUGAGAAAUCACCCUUGUGUAAAACCACUUAUUGUACAUGAAGACAUGCAUGGCACAAACAGAGUGAAUUGGGACUGGUGAUCAAUGCCUCUUUCGGUAAAAGAAUGAGAAAGGAUAAAAGCCAGAAAGUGGAAGUUUACAACAAACAAACAAGACAAUUCUCCAGUUAACACGUGGUUAAGUCUCUGCAGAUGCUACAUGGGGAAAGAACAUCUCCCACUCACAGAAGAGUGAGAGAGGGACAGGGGAAGAGAGUUUUUAGUCAUCGCUUCGCUCUUCGUAACGCCAUACACACAUGUAUGACUGGUAAGGACUAUGUGGGCUAAAGAUACACUGAAACAUCUCUAUUAGAAAAUAAUGAACAACCAUAUCACUUUUUUUUUUGUCUUUAGUAUGUUCAGUAACAACAGAUUUCUUGAAUUCUGAAAAGCACUUCACAAAUUUAUUUUUAAAAUACUUGCGA